AGUGAACGCUGGCGGCGCGCUUAACACAUGCAAGUCGAGGGGUAACAGAGGUAGCUUGCUACUUGCUGACGACCGGCGGACGGGUGAGUAAUGCUUGGGAAUCUGCCUAGUCGAGGGGGACAACAGUUGGAAACGACUGCUAAUACCGCAUACGACCUACGGGUGAAAGGGGGCCUCUUCUUGAAAGCUCUCGCGACUAGAUGAGCCCAAGUGGGAUUAGCUUGUUGGUGAGGUAAGAGCUCACCAAGGCGACGAUCCCUAGCUGGUCUGAGAGGAUGAUCAGCCACACUGGAACUGAGACACGGUCCAG
rnacentral:rRNA from 1 species